UACGUAGGGUGCGAGCGUUAAUCGGAAUUACUGGGCGUAAAGCGUGCGCAGGCGGUUCGUUGUGUCGGCGGUGAAAGCCCCGGGCUUAACCUGGGAAUGGCCGUUGAAACUGGCGAACUGGAGUGUGGCAGAGGGGGGUGGAAUUCCGCGUGUAGCAGUGAAAUGCGUAGAGAUGCGGAGGAACACCGAUGGCGAAGGCAGCCCCCUGGGCUAACACUGACGCUCAGGCACGAAAGCGUGGGGAACAAACAGG
rnacentral:rRNA from 1 species